UACGUAGGGGGCCAGCGUUGUUCGGAAUUACUGGGUGUAAAGGGUUCGUAGGCGGUGUGGCAAGUCGGGAGUGAAAUCUCUGGGCUCAACCCAGAGUCUGCUUCCGAAACUGCUGUGCUUGAGUGUGGGAGAGGCGCGUGGAAUUGCAGGUGUAGCGGUGAAAUGCGUAGAUAUCUGCAGGAACACCCGUGGCGAAAGCGGCGCGCUGGACCACUACUGACGCUGAGGAACGAAAGCUAGGGGAGCAAACAGG
rnacentral:rRNA from 1 species